UCUUAUGGAUGAGCAAAGAAAGUUAUUUCUUGAAAUAGAAUUUCCUUCUGAUGAGGAUGCUGUGAA
rnacentral:pre_miRNA from 1 species